rnacentral:rRNA from 1 species
UGUUGCACGCCAUGCGGAUGGACACGACUCUCGGCAAUGGAUAUCUCGGCUCUCNCAUCGAUGAAGAGCGCAGCGAAAUGCGAUANGUGGUGCGAAUUGCAGAAUCCCGCGAAC